CAAAAACAUCGCUAGAUGAAUUAUAUAUUUGGUUAUUUCUGCUCAAUGGUUUAUCUAAAUAGCCGCAGUACUCUGACUGUGCAAAGGUAGCAUAAUCAUUUGUCUCAUAAUUGGAGUCUAGUAUGAAGGAAUUAAUGGGUAAUUGCUGUCUUUUAUGGUUUAGAAGAAAUUAUUAAGUAGGUGAAAAUACCUACAAUUAAACAAUAGACGAGAAGACCCUAGAAAUUUGUUUUAACUUAAUGCUUCUUAUUAUAAUUUUGUUGGGGCGACAGAAUAACAUAUAACUUAUUUUAAUUUAUUAGAACUGUAUAACGCGCAAAACUAAAUUACUCUAGGGAUAACAGCAUAAUCUAUUAGAGUUUGUGACCUCGAUGUUGGACUAGGGUUUAUAGUGUUUAGAAGAUACUAUAACAGGCUCUGUUCGAGCAGUUACCCCUACGUGAUCU
rnacentral:rRNA from 1 species